GGACUACUGGGGUAUCUAAUCCUGUUUGCUCCCCACGCUUUCGCGUCUCAGCGUCAGUUGGUGUCCAGGAAGCCGCCUUCGCCACUGGUGUUCCUCCUGAUAUCUACGAAUUUCACCUCUACACCAGGAAUUCCACUUCCCUCUCCACCACUCAAGGCCGGUAGUUUCGAAUGCAGUUCCCAGGUUGAGCCUGGGGAUUUCACACCCGACAUGCCGACCCGCCUACACGCGCUUUACGCCCAGUAAUUCCGAGCAACGUUUGCACCCUCUGUCUUACCGCGGCGGCUGGCAC
rnacentral:rRNA from 1 species